rnacentral:rRNA from 1 species
UGUGGAAUAUUGGUCAAUGGGCGAGAGCCUGAACCAGCCAAGUAGCGUGAAGGAUGACUGCCCUAUGGGUUGUAAACUUCUUUUAUAAAGGAAUAAAGUCGGGUAUGGAUACCCGUUUGCAUGUACUUUAUGAAUAAGGAUCGGCUAACUCCGUGCCAGCAGCCGCGGUAAUACGGAGGAUCCGAGCGUUAUCCGGAUUUAUUGGGUUUAAAGGGAGCGUAGAUGGAUGUUUAAGUCAGUUGUGAAAGUUUGCGGCUCAACCGUAAAAUUGCAGUUGAUACUGGAUAUCUUGAGUGCAGUUGAGGCAGGCGGAAUUCGUGGUGUAGCGGUGAAAUGCUUAGAUAUCACGAAGAACUCCGAUUGCGAAGGCAGCCUGCUAAGCUGCAACUGACAUUGAGGCUCGAAAGUGUGGGUAUCAAACAGG